AAUAUUUCUUAAUAUAUAUUUUUAUACACACAGAUAUACACACAUGUGCACCUGGUCCUGAUUUAGGUAGUAGUUUUGGGCUACAUAUCAAUCUUUUAAAAGAAAUGCUAAAUGGAGAUUAUUCUAGUCACUAGGGGACUGGUGCAUACACUUAAACGAAUGGACUUCUUUCUCUAAAUGUGUGUCUCCACUGGUCUUCCCCAAUUUCUCAGCUACACCAGCCUGAAAUCUGAAUCCUCCUCCUCCUUGGGUUCACUCACCAUCCCUCACACCCACACUCUUUCCACCUCCAUGUCUGUUUUUUCACCUUCGAAGAGUACCCUGAAUGUGCUCCUUUCUGUCCUUCCCACUGGAACCCCCAAGUCACUAUCUCACUUAAACAAGAUUAUAGGCUUUCUGAUUUCUGCAUUUCCUCUCCCCUGCUCCCACUGGUGCUCCAUCUGGAAGCCAGAGUCACUUUUCCAAGAUAUAAAUCAGACUGUGUCCCUCACUCCUUUGCCCCAAAACCCUCUCAAGUUCUUAUCCUGACAUAGUCCCCUCUUCAAACUUAGUACAUUUUGGAUCCUAGAGAUGUCAUCCUCCUUCUAAUCACUCAAGCAGACCAAACUCCUUUCAGGACUUUACCCUCUGCCAGCACUGUUAUUCCCUCCUUCUGUAGUUGGUAUGACUCCUCAUGUCCUUCAGGCUGUGUUUAAAUGUCACUUCCUUAUGGAGUCCUCUCCUGACUCCCUAAAGUAGUGAGUGCCCUGUCCCUUAUGUUAUUUCUCUCUCUUCACACACCUCUUCCUCGUCUCUCUCUCCUGGGGAUUGAAUCCAGGGGUGCUGUCUCACUGAGCUAUAUCCCUACUCUGUUUUUUUCUUUAUUUUUAGGAAAGUCUCACUUAGUUUCCCAUAUUGACCUUGAAUUUAUGAUCCUCCUACUGUAGCUUCCAGAGUGGCUGAGACAACAGGCGUGUCCACUACUUCCAGUUUGUGCUUUUCCCUUCAGAGCAGUAAUUACAAUUUGUAAUUAUUUUGUUCUUUUUAUUUUUUUAAAAUCUACUUCCUCUACCAGACUGUGGAGUGAUGGAAAAGGUCAGGGACAAUCUUGUCAUUUUGUUCCUUCUGCCUAAAGGCAGUGUGCCCUAAUCAAACAUUGAUUGAACAAAUAGCAUUGCUGUUAACAGCUGGAUGCCUAAUUUUAUUUGCCUAACAAUAUCAUAGUGUGCUUUUUAAAAAGCAGAAAGCCCUUCCACCCUGUAGCAGAUAUGGUGGUGCCAGUUUGAAGUGCCUCUUAUGGAGUAUGUUUAGGCAAAAUUCAUUUAAAUCAGGUGCUUAUAAAUGUCAGGUCUACUUUAAAUAUGUGUUUCAUUUUCUUAUCUUAAUGAGAUGUUUUAAGAGUCUUAUUUUAUCCAUGAGAUUAAGGAAAUAGGUGAAGUAGUCUAAUUUUUUUUUUUUUUAACUAAAUGGCUAUUAGGUCAUAAGACCUAACAAAAUCUUUGUAGUACCAUUGAGUACUUGCUCAUUAAUUAUCUGGGAGACUAGUCAGAGUUUUAAAGUAACUUCUUACCUCACCCAGGAACCAUUUAACAAAUCUGUGUAACAAUUUUUUUUUUAUCAAGUGGUCCCUAAAGAAUAUUAACUAUAUCAGUUAGAUUAUAAUUCACAUCUCAUCAUUAAGAAAUAUUUUUGUAAGUCAAGUUUAGGACUUUUUUUUUUUAAAGCAACUUGAAAGCAUCACCUUUUAAACAGUUCUAUUUUAAAAUUCCCAUCAAAAUACUAAAAGUUGAUGCAGUCCUGACCUCUGAUGCUCAGUGAACACCCCAGGAAGGGACAAAAUGAUUCGGUGGUUAAAGCUGUGUCCCCAGAAGCUUGGCUUCCCCCACAUUCUCUCAGGCCGUACCUCUUCCUGCUGACUUGCUGUACUUGAUCUUGACAGGCAAAGGAAAGCACUGUUAGGACUCGUCUGAUCUGAACCAGCCAACCAGAUUCAAGGAGGGGCUUGUGCUCACCAGCAUCAUCCAAGAAUGACCUGGAUGACUCAUUAAAUUCAGAAGAAACCAUGCCAUCCUCAAAGCCUCAUCCACCUGUUGUGGGCAAAGUGACUCAUCACAGCAUUGAGUUAUACUGGGAUCUGGAAAAGAAGGAGAAACGGCAAGGUCCUCAGGAACAGUGGCAUAGAUUCUCAAUCGAGGAAGAAGACCCCAAAACGCACACUUACGGUAUCAUUUAUACGGGAUAUGCAACGAAACACGUCAUUGAAGGUCUGGAACCGAGGACACUCUACAGAUUCCGACUGAAGGUCACCAGCCCCUCUGGAGAAUGCGAGUACAGCCCCGUCAUCUCGGUAUCCACGACCAGAGAACCCAUUAGCAGUGAGCACUUUCAUCGAGCUGUCAAUGUGAAUGAUGAAGAUUUGCUUGUUCAAAUACUUGAAGGAGGCCAUGUCAAGGUUGAUGUUCCCAAUAAGUUUGGCUUCACUGCUCUGAUGGUUGCUGCCCAGAAAGGAUAUACCAGGCUUGUGAAAAUCUUAGUUUCUAAUGGUACAGAUGUGAAUCUGAAGAAUGGCAGUGGCAAGGACAGUCUUAUGCUUGCGUGCUACGCGGGACACCUGGAUGUUGUGAAAUACCUCCGCAGACAUGGAGCCUCCUGGGAGGCUAGAGACCUGGGCGGCUGCACAGCUUUGCACUGGGCUGCGGAUGGAGGCCACUGCACUGUGAUCGACUGGAUGAUAAAGGAUGGCUGUGAGGUGGAUGUUGUGGACACUGGUUCAGGGUGGACGCCGCUCAUGAGAGUCUCUGUGGUGUCGGGCAGCCAGAAGGUGGCCUCGCUCCUCAUUGAGGCUGGGGCUGAUGUGAAUGUGAGAGACAAAGAUGGGAAGACGCCGCUCAUGGUACGCCUUUCCCCGGAGGCCAGAGCUUUUCUACGAUGGGACCUUCUUGUGAGUUUGGUGGCUCAUUCCCAGGCCCUGGGUUUGGUUGCGUGUGCUCCUGCCAGCCAGCCUUUUAAUAAAGGUGGCUGUAUUAAAUAAUCACGAGCAGUUGGUUGAGUUACUUCUUGACAAAGGGGCAGAUGCAAGUGUGAAAAAUGAGUUUGGCAAAGGGGUCCUAGAAAUGGCCAGAGUGUUUGACAGACAGAAUGUAGUCUCCUUAUUAGAAGAAAGGAAAAAAAAGCUGCCUCGGAAGUCCUGUGUCCACUGAUCAGAGCACCAGCUGCCUGAGAAAUCCAAGCAAAAUAAAACAGAGUGACUGUUGAACUGGACGUGAUAUUCUGCGUCCUUGAGGGCUGUAUAUUUAUUUAUUUAGUUGAAGACUCACAGUAUUUUUUUUUGUAACAGACAGCUAUUCCCACAUUGAAAUACAUCUUUUUACCUAAG